AGCGGACCAAAGGGAGCUUGCUCCUAGGAGGUUAGCGGCGAACGGGUGAGUAACACGUGGGCAACCUGCCUGUAAGACUGGGAUAACAUCGAGAAAUCGGUGCUAAUACCGGAUAAUAAAAAGAACUGCAUGGUUCUUUUUUGAAAGAUGGUUUCGGCUAUCACUUACAGAUGGGCCCGCGGCGCAUUAGCUAGUUGGUGAGGUAACGGCUCACCAAGGCGACGAUGCGUAGCCGACCUGAGAGGGUGAUCGGCCACACUGGGACUGAGACACGGCCCAGACUCCUACGGGAGGCAGCAGUAGGGAAUCUUCCGCAAUGGACGAAAGUCUGACGGAGCAACGCCGCGUGAGUGAUGAAGGUUUUCGGAUCGUAAAACUCUGUUGUUAGGGAAGAACAAGUGCCGUUCGAAAGGGCGGCACCUUGACGGUACCUAACGAGAAAGCCACGGCUAACUACGUGCCAGCAGCCG
rnacentral:rRNA from 2 species